GUCGAGGAUCUUCGGCAAUGGGCGCAAGCCUGACCGAGCGACGCCGCGUGUGCGAUGAAGGCCUUCGGGUUGUAAAGCACUGUCGAGGGGGAGGAAGCCGCAAGGUUGACCUAUCCCUGGAGGAAGCACGGGCUAAGUUCGUGCCAGCAGCCGCGGUAAGACGAACCGUGCAAACGUUGUUCGGAAUCACUGGGCUUAAAGGGUGUGUAGGCGGGCCAGCCAGUCUGUGGUGAAAGCCUCCAGCUUAACUGGAGAAGUGCCGUGGAUACUGCUGGUCUUGAGGAGGGUAGGGGCAUCUGGAACGGUCGGUGGAGCGGUGAAAUGCGUUGAUAUCGACCGGAACUCCGGUGGCGAAGGCGAGGUGCUGGACCCUUUCUGACGCUGAAACACGAAAGCCAGGGGAGCAAACGGGAUUAGAAACCCUUGUAGUCC
rnacentral:rRNA from 1 species